AUGUUCUCGUCCCAAUCUGCAAGCCGCAUUAACAACAUCAGAACAUCCCUCAUCAAUGCGCAGAAAGGGAACCUCUCUGUAGCCUCAUACUUCGCCACCAUGUGUGGCCAUGCCGAUGAGCUAACCGCCGCAGGCAAGGCAAUCCCCGAUGAUGAACUCGCCUCCUACAUCAUCCAUGGGCUCGACGCCGACUACCAGCCCUUGGUCUCUGCCCUCGACGCUCGCGUGACCCCUGUGACCCUUGACAAGCUCUUUGCCAUGCUGUCAAACUUCGAUCACCGGACGGUUCGGUUCCAAGGGUCCAGCGGCAGCGGCUUCAAAUCGUCCGCCAACGUGGCCACUCGCGGGUGGGGAGGCGGCUCCCGAUCGCGUGGCUCCUCUUGCAACAAGGGCAGGUCUGGCGGCGGCAACGGCGGCGGCGCGCCACCACAAUACUCUUGUGGCCGGGGUCAUCGCGAACGCGGUGGCAGUGGCGGUAGCAGAAACCGCCCGGACUCCUCCCGGUGGCAAAUCUGCGGCAAGCCCGGACACACAACAAAGGAUUGCUGGUAA
rnacentral:rRNA from 1 species